CCAACACUGCACUAUUGCUGUAUUAAUUUUUAGCUCAUAGUCUAGUUACAUGUUAUUCAGUUCAUCUAACUCAUGCCAUUUGGUGGCUCAUUAAUGAGAGUACAAAGAAUCUUUUCCUGCAAAUUAUGCUGUAUAAAGACAGGCUUGAAAAAAGGGCACUAAUUUUUUUUGGGGCAUUCCGAGAAUCGAACUCGGGACCUCUCGCACCCAAAGCGAGAAUCAUACCACUAGACCAAAUGCCCAGCUUUUGUUGGUCCCUCUGCCUAAAUAAUAGCUGGAAGUUUCAUGUACAGUUAUCUGGAGCCUAUACCAUUUCUAUGAAAUUAUUUUCUAGGAGUACCAGCAUUCUCCAGUGUCUCGGGGAUCUUCCAUUGUUAAAAUAAUGUAAAAGUGUUUUAGUUGUAGACUGGAAGUUGGUGUAUCUGGUUGUAAUAUCUGAACAUAGUCAACUGUAGAAUCAUUUAGAGAUGAAGGAGCGUUUGGAGAUUUAAAUCAACUUAGAGUAAAUUAAAAUUCUACAAAAUCAAGGGGCAUUCCGAGAAUUGAACUCGGGACCUCUCGCACCCAAAGCGAGAAUCAUACCACUAGACCAAAUGCCCAUUCGUUGACAUUGUCAUCUUUGAGUUUUAGUCAAACGUAUUUUUCACCUUCUGAGUUAUUUGAUCGCAAUGUCUUGCUUAUCUGCAAUAUAGAUUUAUACUCCUUAUUCAUACCAGCUGAUAUUCAUUUGCUUAAAAAAAUGUUCUUCAGUCCUUAUUGUGACUCCCACAUGGAUUAGUGAGAUGUAAAGAGGGGUUGAUUAAAAUAUUAUGUUUUUGCUCUCUGAUUUGUGCUGAUCUCAAUGCAUAAAGAUGCUAUCAGCUCUGGUAAUUUCUGUCACUUGUCUAUUCACUAUCCUUCUCUGUCAUAUUCAACCUUUUGGGCAUUCGGAAUCCAAAAGCAAUGAAGUCUGUCUAGUGAUUAAGAACUCUCAUUGGACAUGAGGCCAGGUCUCUGGCAUUUGCGGGAUUAAGAUGACUUGUUUGACAUCAUAGUUCGAGUUAAAUCAUGCCUGAAGUAAAGAAAGCUCCACUAAGUUGGGGAGCAUCACAUUAAUAGUUAAACCUUGGCUUCUGUUGUGUUCUCUUAUUUCCAGUUCUCUUUCGGAUACGUUCUUUAUCAAGCUAUAUCCUUAUCACUUUUUUUCAUGGAAUGGUGCAGCUCAUUAUAUGUAAAUUGGGCGCAACUCAACAUGGUACAAUGAUAUUCAUGAUUCUUUGUUUCACUAUAUUGAAAUGGAUAUGAUUCAGUAACAACGGGUAUCUGCGUUACUCCUUAUUUCGACGUGAAAGCUUUUGCCUCAAUUUUUGCAACACCUCCAUGUCAUUGAUUAAUGAUUUCAGUUGUUCUGGACAAAAUUUUAUGAAUCUUUGAUGUAAGUUGUAACGACAAAUGCAUGUGCUAACUUUUAAGUUUUGCCUGCUUUAUCAAAUUGAAAAGAGAUGGCAAAAACGCAUGUCUGAAAUGAUGGCUUACUAUGGUUGAGAUACUCGAGCUUAUCUGUUCGACAUUUUAUAUUUAGGGAUCUCUUGGGAGUUGGACACUGAACUUUGGAGUUUCAGAUCUGCUUUUCGGUAAACUGAACAGGCAAGGUCAACUCUGCGCUAUUGCAAAUAUUCAUGUUGUAUUAAUUUUUUGUAUAUAGAUCUAGAUCUUCCUUAUUUAGCUUCAUGUGACCCAUCCAAUUGGGUGGUCCAUUAACGUGAAUGGAAAGAAUCUUUACCUGCAAUUUUUUUGUGUGAAGAAAAUUUGGCUGAGUGUCUUAGUUGACUUGGGAUAAGCUUACCAAAAGGGAAACAAUAAAGAGCUCUUACACAAAGCAUUAGGUAAGAUUUGGGACAGGCAUAUAUUGACAAAGCAAAGUUAGGUCUGGAUUGUAGAAAUGCCUAUUUGUUGAUAAUUAAUAAACCAAAAAAAUACUAUUGAUUCCCCUAUCGCAUUAAAUACUCAGCAUGUGACCAAGUGUGAAUUCUAUUGUUUGAAUCUUAGUAACAUGAAUGGCUGAUGAACUUGCUGCAAUUUUCAUAACAUCAAUCUCAAUGCUGACUGUUUAAGAAAAUACUGAAAUACUUUAGAUGGCGGAGGUUCUGGCCAACUCUUCUCAAAGUUGGUAGGGACAUUCCGUAACCUGGGAACUUUGCACCCAUGAACUAUACAACUAGACUAAUUGGCCAGUAGCUUAUGUUCCUUGAAGAUAAUCUUGCAAUACAGUUCACACUACGUCUUCUAAGAUGAAAAAGUUAGGUUAUGUGCUAGUUUUUCUGCUUCUAUUGUUAACAAGGUGGUGGGUAAAUUAUAGCGUUUGCAUGAUAAGUUGAGACUAUAGAGAGAAACUAAGUGUAUUUCUUAGAAGAUCUCUAGCCAAUUGGACUGGGUCAGCCACUUAUGACCUGCUUAAUUUGAAUAUAUCAAUUAGAAGAUAGAGCGAAGGAGCAGAGCAGCUAAAAUGAAGUAAAAUGGUUACAUUAGCAGGGGCAUUCCGAGAAUCGAACUCGGGACCUCUCGCACCCAAAGCGAGAAUCAUACCACUAGACCAAAUGCCCAGCUUUUGCUGGUUCAUUGGUCUAAAUAAUAGCUGGAAGUUUCAUGUCAGUUGCCUGGAGCUUAUACCAUUAAAUGAUAUUAAGAGGGAUGAGCAUUUUCCAGUGUCUGGGGGCUCCUCCAUUGUUAAAAUAAUGUAUAUAGAGAGGCAUAUUAAUUUACUAUGCUAUUAAAGGUGUUUUAAUUGUACAGUGUGGAAGUUGUCCGUAUCUGGUUGUAAUAUCUGAACAUACUCGACUAUAGGGUCAGUUAGAGAUGAAGGAGCACUUGGAGAGUUAAAUCAACUAAAGUAAAUAAAACUUCAGUAAAAUCAAGGGGCAUUCCGAGAAUCGAACUCGGGACCUCUCGCACCCAAAGCGAGAAUCAUACCACUAGACCAAAUGCCC
rnacentral:lncRNA from 1 species